rnacentral:rRNA from 1 species
GAUGAACGCUGGCGGCACGCCUAACACAUGCAAGUCGAACGAGGUUUGAGAGCGGUUAGUGGCGGACUGGUGAGUAACACGUAAGCAACCUGCCUAUUAGAGGGGAAUAACAGUGAGAAAUCAUUGCUAAUACCGCAUAUGCUAACAGUAUCGCAUGAUACAGUUAGGAAAGGAGUAAUCCGCUAAUAGAUGGGCUUGCGUCUGAUUAGAUAGUUGGUGGGGUAACGGGCCUACCAAGUCGACGAUCAGUAGCCGGUCUGAGAGGAUGAACGGCCACAUUGGGACUGAGAUACGGCCCAGACUCCUACGGGAGGCAGCAGUGGGGAAUAUUGGGCAAUGGGGGAAACCCUGACCCAGCAACGCCGCGUGAAGGAAGAAGGCCUUCGGGUUGUAAACUUCUUUUAGCAGGGACGAAGGACGUGACGGUACCUGCAGAAAAAGCAACGGCUAACUACGUG